rnacentral:lncRNA from 1 species
AAUUUUCAGGAAUUUGACAGUGAGGGAAAUGUCAUUAUACAGCCAGGGGACUUGAAAAAAGUCUUGUUCAGAUUUGGCAUUCCAGUCACCCCAGAAGACUUUAGGAAGCUUUGGGCAAGGUCUCUUCUCAGACUGCUCUAGGCAACAUGGACUUAGACCUACCGGAUCACAAUCAACAGGUGAUACACUCAAAAACAAAGAAGAGAAGUCUUGUCUUGCAGAUAAAGAGGCAGCUUGGGAAAUCAUUAAACAACAACAACAAAAAAAGACACCACAGAGAUGCCUGUAAGGAUUACUUCCAAGAUUUCAAGAAGGCCUUUCAUAAAAUGGAUAAAAAUAGAGAUGGCUGUGUAACAGUAUUUGACCUGCACAGGAUACUACAAGAAUUCAACUGUUACCUUGAUCAUGAUCAGUUAAGCAGUCUUCUAAACAGUGCCAUACAUCACGCAGAGAGCAGGAUACCUGCCCUGCCUUGUGCCAAGCAGCCAUCAGACCUCCACGGAUCCCUUCAGGCAGCAGAAACAAGGGCAUCAGCAGCUGCCCCCAGGACUUUCACAGGCUGUCAGUAG